rnacentral:misc_RNA from 1 species
UAUUUCAUUGCGUUAAACGCGGCAUACAUUCCAUGAGACUUUUGUUACAGUGUGUGUGUAAAGACAUAGAACCACAGCAGGAGGACAGAGCCCCCCACGCCACAGAACUACAGAGGGUGCACAGGUGUGAGUGGAUGUGUAAACAGAGCGUGCACGUGCCCCCAUACGGAGACCAGCAACAACUCUUGUUGACAGUUCGGUAAUGAUCCUUCCGCAGGUUCACCUACGGAAA